GGGGUUGUGGCUCAGUGUUAGAGUGCUUGCCUAGCAUGCAUGAGGCACUGGGUUUGAUCCCCGGAACCACA
rnacentral:tRNA from 1 species